rnacentral:rRNA from 1 species
GAGUUUGAUCAUGGCUCAGGAUGAACGCUAGCGGCAGGCCUAACACAUGCAAGUCGAGGGGUAACAGAAAAGCUUGCUUUUGCUGACGACCGGCGCACGGGUGCGUAACGCGUAUGCAACCUACCUCAUACUGGAGGAUAGCCCCUGGAAACGGGGAUUAAUACUCCAUAGUAUCACAAUUUCGCAUGUUAUUGUGAUUAAAGUUUUUCGGUAUGAGAUGGGCAUGCGUCCCAUUAGCUUGUUGGUGAGGUAACGGCUCACCAAGGCAACGAUGGGUAGGGGGCCUGAGAGGGUGGUCCCCCACACUGGUACUGAGACACGGACCAGACUCCUACGGGAGGCAGCAGUGAGGAAUAUUGGUCAAUGGAGGAAACUCUGAACCAGCCAUGCCGCGUGAAGGAUGACGGCCCUAUGGGUUGUAAACUUCUUUUAUAGAGGAAGAAACUUGUCUACGUGUAGACAACUGACGGUACUCUACGAAUAAGGAUCGGCUAACUCCGUGCCAGCAGCCGCGGUAAUACGGAGGAUCCAAGCGUUAUCCGGAUUCAUUGGGUUUAAAGGGUCCGUAGGCGGAUUUUUAAGUCAGUGGUGAAAGCCGACAGCUCAACUGUCGAACUGCCAUUGAUACUGGAAAUCUUGAGUACAAAUGAAGUAGGCGGAAUGAGUCAUGUAGCGGUGAAAUGCAUAAAUAUGACUCAGAACACCGAUUGCGAAGGCAGCUUACUAACAUGUAACUGACGCUGAGGGACGAAAGCGUGGGGAGCGAACAGGAUUAGAUACCCUGGUAGUCCACGCCGUAAACGAUCAUCACUCGCUGUUGGCGAUAUACUGUCAGCGGCCAAGCGAAAGUAUUAAGUGAUGCACCUGGGGAGUACGCCGGCAACGGUGAAACUCAAAGGAAUUGACGGGGGCCCGCACAAGCGGUGGAGCAUGUGGUUUAAUUCGAUGAUACGCGAGGAACCUUACCAGGGCUUAAAUGUAGUAUGACCGGCUUGGAAACAGGCCUUCUCUUCGGAGCAGAUUACAAGGUGCUGCAUGGUUGUCGUCAGCUCGUGCCGUGAGGUGUUAGGUUAAGUCCUGCAACGAGCGCAACCCCUAUUCUUAGUUGCCAGCGGUUCGGCCGGGGACUCUAAGAAGACUGCCAGCGCAAGCUGAGAGGAAGGUGGGGAUGACGUCAAAUCAUCACGGCCCUUACGUCCUGGGCUACACACGUGCUACAAUGGUAGAAACAGAGGGCAGCCACCUGGUGACAGGGAGCGAAUCCUUAAACUCUAUCUCAGUUCGGAUCGAAGUCUGCAACUCGACUUCGUGAAGCUGGAAUCGCUAGUAAUCGCGCAUCAGCCAUGGCGCGGUGAAUACGUUCCCGGGCCUUGUACACACCGCCCGUCAAGCCAUGGAAGCUGGGGGCACCUGAAGUCGGUAACCGUAAGGAGCCGCCUAGGGUGAAACUGGUAACUAGGGCUAAGUCGUAACAAGGUAACC